rnacentral:rRNA from 1 species
GAUGAACGCUAGCGGCAGGCUUAAUACAUGCAAGUCGUGGGGCAGCAUGAAGUAGCAAUACUUUGAUGGCGACCGGCAAACGGGUGCGGAACACGUACACAACCUUCCUUUUAGUGGGGAAUAGCCCAGAGAAAUUUGGAUUAAUACCCCGUAACAUAGCGAUGUGGCAUCACAUUGCUAUUAUAGCUUCGGCGCUAGAUGAAGGGUGUGCGUAUGAUUAGAUAGUUGGCGAGGUAACGGCUCACCAAGUCUACGAUCAUUAGCUGAUGUGAGAGCAUGAUCAGCCACACGGGCACUGAGACACGGGCCCGACUCCUACGGGAGGCAGCAGUAAGGAAUAUUGGUCGAUGGACGAAGGUCUGAACCAGCCAUGCCGCGUGAAGGAUUAAGGUCCUCUGGAUUGUAAACUUCUUUUAUAUGGGACGAAAAAAGGUCUUUCUAGAUCACUUGACGGUACCAUAUGAAUAAGCACCGGCUAACUCCGUGCCAGCCGCCGCUGUAAAAC